AUAUCAUUUUCAGAUCCCUCUUCGUCUAAGGUGCUUUACAUCGUGUAUAUAUUCUCUGCAACAAUUUCAUCUUGUUUUCAAGAUUACCCAGAGUUGACCAUAUUUUUCUAUUCCUUCUCAAACCUAAAAACUCAGUA